UUGUUUCUCCUUACUUCCCUCUUCUCUUCCCUCCCUCUCUCCCUCUUUCUUUCCUUCCUUCCUAAUAUAUUUUUUGCUGAGUACCUAUAAUGUGCCAUGCAUACUCUAGACCCUGCGAAAGGACUCACCUCAAGGAAUUCACAUUCUCGACAAGGGGAGACAGACACAAAGAAAUAAGCAGGAGCAUCUGUCAAUGGUUUAUGGAACUCAGUAUGGAAGCCAGCAUGGUGGCAGAGCUGGUUCAAAAAGUAGAAAAAGAAUGAAAGACUACAGUCUCUGACAGAAGGCAUGCUGGAAGGAUGUUGCCAGAUCACAGGGCCCUAGGGUGCAAUAAAACAGUCCCUGUUGGGUGAUGAUCUAUUGUUCAGUAAGCUAUCAGCAUCUCGACAAGACAAAUUCAACUGUAUUGCCAGCAGAUAGAGUCAGUUGCAUCACUGUCCAUUUUCUUCAAGUUAAUAUGAACCCUGGCAGAGAUGUCAAAUGUCCCAUCAAUGGAAAAUAGUCAAAGCAAGAGGCCGUGCCCCUGAGAUAACUAGCGGUCUCUGACAUGCCACCACCGGUUCCUGAGAGCUUGUUAACAAGACAGUGUCUGACCUGAGAUAAGGAGGUGACCAUCGUUUCAAAACAGUUGAGAACUAACUCCUGCAUGUUGGUUGUUGCUGUCACUAACUAUAGAAGAGAAAUCCACGUGGGAUCAUCUAAACCUGGCAGAGGUUGCAUGGCCAGAAUGUGCUGGGUCACACUCAAACUCUGGUCUCUCUGACACCAAGGACCACAGAUGCUGAGUCCAGCCAGCACUUUCCAAUGACCUCAGUCCCUCUCAGGACAGGCCCAUCCAAGGAGGAUUUGCCUCAAGGGGAAAGCAAUGACUAGCCCAAAAAGAAUGACCUGGCAGGGAAGUGCCUGGGCUGGGGGAGGCACUUCCAAUACCCUCCCUAAAAUGCAAUUUUUAUCCACUUUUCUUUGCACAAUAUUUAUUAUUUCCAAAGAGUGUCUAAAGACCGACUACAGAGGAGAGAUUCCAGCCCCCUUCAUGCUGCAGAUUGUUAGAGCUAGGGCUGCACGUUCCCUGGGACAGGGACAAGCCCAUGUUAGGAGGCUGCUUCUCACGGGGAGUGCCCUGAGUGUGGUGGAUGCUAACAUUUUGGGUAAUAGAACAAGACACAGGCUUUCACUGAAUCUGUCUUUUCAGCAAAGGUAAA